rnacentral:tRNA from 1 species
GGAGAGGUGGCCGAGUGGCUGAAGGCAACGGUUUGCUAAACCGUUAAAGGGGUUAAACCCUUUCGCGAGUUCGAAUCUCGCCCUCUCCG